UACGGGGGGGGCAAGCGUUGUUCGGAAUUACUGGGCGUAAAGGGCUUGUAGGUGGCCAACUAAGUCAGACGUGAAAUCCCUCGGCUUAACCGGGGAAUCGCGUCUGAUACUGGAUGGCUUGAGUUUGGGAGAGGGACGCGGAAUUCCAGGUGUAGCGGUGAAAUGCGUAGAUAUCUGGAGGAACACCGGUGGCGAAGGCGGCGUCCUGGACCAACACUGACACUGAUGAGCGAAAGCCAGGGAGCAACGGG
rnacentral:rRNA from 1 species